rnacentral:rRNA from 1 species
GAUGAACGCUAGCGGCAGGCUUAAUACAUGCAAGUCGAGGGGUAGCAAGAUUGUAGCAAUACAAUUGUUGACGACCGGCAAACGGGUGCGGAACACGUACACAACCUUCCUACAAGUGGGGAAUAGCCCAGAGAAAUUUGGAUUAAUACCCCGUAACAUAGCGAUGUGGCAUCACAUUGCUAUUAUAGCUUCGGCGCUUGUUGAUGGGUGUGCGGCUGAUUAGAUAGUUGGCGGGGUAACGGCCCACCAAGUCUACGAUCAGUAGCUGAUGUGAGAGCAUGAUCAGCCACACGGGCACUGAGACACGGGCCCGGCUCCUACGGGAGGCAGCAGUGGGGAAUUUUGGACAAUGGGCGAAAGCCUGAUCCAGCCAUGCCGCGUGUCUGAAGAAGGCCUUCGGGUUGUAAAGGACUUUUGUCGGGGAGGAAAUCCCCAGCGUUAAUACCGCUGGGGGAUGACAGUACCUGAAGAAUAAGCACCGGCUAACUACGUGCCAGCAGCCGCAGUAACAC